GACGAACGCUGGCGGUGUGCUUAACACAUGCAAGUCGAACGGUAAGGCCCUUUCGGGGGUACACGAGUGGCGAACGGGUGAGUAACACGUGAGUAACCUGCCCUCAUCUCUGGGAUAACAGUCGGAAACGGUCGCUAAUACUGGAUAUGAGCUUGCAAGGCAUCUUGUGGGUUGGAAAGAUUUUUUUUGGUUGGGGAUGGACUCGCGGCCUAUCAGCUUGUUGGUGAGGUAGUGGCUCACCAAGGCUUCGACGGGUAGCCGGCCUGAGAGGGCGACCGGCCACAUUGGGACUGAGAUACGGCCCAAACUCCUACGGGAGGCAGCAGUGGGGAAUAUUGCACAAUGGACGGAAGUCUGAUGCAGCAACGCCGCGUGCGGGAUGACGGCCUUCGGGUUGUAAACCGCUUUCAAUUGUGACGAAGCUUUUUUGUGACGGUAGCAGUAGAAGAAGCACCGGCUAACUACGUG
rnacentral:rRNA from 1 species